rnacentral:rRNA from 1 species
GACGAACGCUGGCGGCGUGCUUAACACAUGCAAGUCGAACGGAAAGGCCCUGCUUUUGUGGGGUGCUCGAGAGGCGAACGGGUGAGUAAAACGUGAGUAACCUGCCCUUGACUUUGGGAUAACUUCAGGAAACUGGGGCUAAUACCGGAUAGGAGCUCCUGCUGCAUGGGGGGGGUUGGAAAGAUUCGGCGGUUGGGGAUGGACUCGCGGCUUAUCAGCUUGUUGGGGGGGUAGUGGCGUACCAAGGGUUUGACGGGUAGCCGGCCUGGGAGGGUGACCGGCCACAUUGGGCCUGAGAUACGGACCAGACUCCUACGGGACGCAGCAGUGGGGAAUAUUGCACAAUGGGCGGAAGCCUGAUGCAGCAGUGCCGCGUGCGGGAUGAUGGCCUUCGGGUUGUAAACCGCUUUCGCCGGCGCCGAACCGUGAGUGACGGUAAUGGGUAAAGAAGCACCGGCUAACUACGUG